rnacentral:tRNA from 1 species
AGAAACUUAGGUUAAAUUAAACCGAAGACCUUCAAAGUCCAAAAUAAGAGAUAAAUCUCCUAGUUUCUG